GCUGGGUGCAGUGUUGCACGCCUGUAAUACCAGCAGCUUGGGAGGCUGAGGUAGGAGGAUUGCGAGUUCAAAGCCAGCCUCAGCAACAUAAGGAGGCCCUAAGCAACUAGCAAGACCCUGUCUCUA
rnacentral:sRNA from 1 species